UCUGCCUUUUACAGCUGGAGAAUUUGGUGGUUCGUGCAUAGAUUCAUCAGAAUGUAGUGCUCUCACAGAUGGUGGUUGUUUACAGGACGGUAAAAUCUGUGUCGUCUGCAAUGACGGAUAUCGUGUAAUUGAUAUAUAUUGUAAACAGGAUGGUCGAUUAGGUGGAUAUUGUGAUGACAAUGUAACGUGUGCAACCACUUCUCUUGACUGUAUCAACAAUGUAUGCGAAGAAAAAGAGCAAGACGAAGAAACUGACAAUACGCCACUUAUCGUGGGCGCCGUUAUCGGGGCUUGUGUUGGUGUAGCCCUGCUGGUUGGUGCUGGCUACAUUCUAUACAAAGUUUGUUGUGGUGUUAAAGCGACUUCUGUCGUCACACCUGCACCAUAUGUACGACCACCAGUGUAUUCAUUAGAACCCCCGCCAUAUUCUUCAUCCGGGGCAGCUGCAAACCAACAACCCCCAACGUCGUAUGCACACCCCACAGUUUAACGCCGUUAAUAUAUCAAACAAAAGAAAAAAGUUAAUAAUUACUUAAAAAGUACAAUGAAUGCAAGGAGAACUUGAACGGGAAAAAUACGGAAGUAAUUAUAAAAGAAGUAAUCUUACCAAAUAUAGCAAUAGCAAUACCUCUGGC